AGUGAGUUCCAGGAUAGCCAGGGCUACACCAAACCCUGUCUCGAAAAACAAACAAAGAAAUUCACAGAUAAACAUUUUUCACCCAUUUGAAAAAAUCUUCAUUCAUAUCUUUGCCUUAGGAUCUUUUGUUUUAUAUAAACACAUACUCGAGGCAACAUUUAAAAAGACCAAAUCCAUGAGCUGGAGAAAACGCCAGGUUGUUGAUCGAUUCCACAGGAGCAGUGGAAUCAAACUGAAGUCGUGCUUGGCCCCUAACCUCCCUUGCCACUAGAGAGUUUUCAUCACCUUUCAAGCCAGGACUGUGAGUGUUCUUGCAGAAGCCAAGACAGGCAGCACUUACGUCAUGACUUGCUUAGAAAAUAUGCUUUCGUGGCUGAAAAUAUUCAAAAUAUGUGUGUUAUGAAGGUAAAUAGCAAACGGCAUAUGCAGGGGUUUAAAAUCUGAAUGGUUUCUGAAGGAAGGGACUAUCCAUGCUCUUGUCCCAAAAAGGUCAUCAGCUUUUCUGCCCAGUUGCCAUGAGGAGAGCUUUCUUCUGGUUUCAGAGGAAAUAUGAGGUGCAGAAGAAACUGAAGAGAGUAAGGGGUAAUAGUGAAGACCUGUAGAAACACAGGGGUCCUUGGUCUAACCACAGAGGCUCCUGUCCAUUGGAGAAAUCAUGAGCAUCAGGUUAUAGUUCACUUGGAAGAUGCCCUUGAUAAGCGAAUGGUCCCCAGACCUUCCAGAAAAUGGCCAAUAGAUCAGCAGUGGUGGGCAAGAGAGAGGUGCAUGCUGGGAUGAGAAAAGUCAGAGGAUUGUAACCACAUAAAGGGUUCACUUUUCUUUUUAUUUGACAUUGUCCUGGUAUGCUUUCUGCAUCCAGGCUCCCCACAUCUAAAGUUGAAACAUAAAAUAUUAUCUAAUAUUUGCAUUAUUUUUUUACAUAAGGAAAUAAAAAUACUAUGGCUGAAGUUAUAGUAAAUAACUUAAUAUUUAAUUUUAAAAUUUAAUUACAAAACUUAAUGCAGUACAUAACUUAAAUAACACAUGUUUCAUCCUAACUCCCUUGUCCAAGAAACCAUCUCAUGACUUGAUAUUUCCCUAUCCAGUCCAUAUCUGUAUGGUGUACACAUGUGAAUGAAGAGAUAGCUCUAACCUGUAAUACCUAUAUAAGUAGUAUAUGUUUUCUAAAGCUGAAUAUCCAUACUAUUCCAAAACUAUUCUUCAUUCUUAUGUUAUUUCCUUUCCGUUCUUCUUGAGGCUCAGUAUCUUUUAUUCGUCCGCUAUUUAUAAUAGUCAAUGAAAAGUAAAAUAACUCAAAUUCCUGUCUUUCAAAUACAAUACUCCUUGCUCACGCCCCUGUCCUGAAGCACUCACUUAUCAGUUGAGAAGAGUUAGAGAACAACCUUCUAGUUGAUCCGUGGGAGGCACACCUGUAACCCUAGCACUUGGAAGUCUGAGGCAGAAGCAACUCAAAUUCAAGGCCAACCUGAAGCACAUCGUGAAAUCUGCUCCAGGGAACACAAAGAAAGUGAGAGGAAGGGAGGGAAGAAGAGAGAGAAGAUCGAGGGAGGAAAGGGGGAGAAAGGAGAGAAGGGAGGGAUGAAGCUUUUAGUUUAGUCUGAAACUUGUUUCCAAUUGACUUCAACCUAUUGGUCAGAAGCUAUUCUUUAAGCUACACUAGCAAAACCAAAUUCCUUCACAGAAGAACUUCAUCCACACACACACACACACACACAC
rnacentral:lncRNA from 1 species